AAGUUUCAACAACGGAUCUCUUGGCUCUCGCAUCGAUGAAGAACGCAGCGAAAUGCGAUAAGUAAUGUGAAUUGCAGAAUUCAGUGAAUCAUCGAAUCUUUGAACGCACCUUGCGCUCCUUGGUAUUCCUUGGAGCAUGCCUGUUUGAGUAUCAA
rnacentral:rRNA from 1 species